GAUGAACGCUGGCGGCGUGCUUAACACAUGCAAGUCGAACGGAAAGGCUCCUGCUUGCAGGGGUACUCGAGUGGCGAACGGGUGAGUAACACGUGGGUGAUCUGCCCUGCACUUCGGGAUAAGCCUGGGAAACUGGGUCUAAUACCGGAUAGGACGAUGGUUUGGAUGCCAUUGUGGAAAGUUUUUCGGUGUGGGAUGAGCUCGCGGCCUAUCAGCUUGUUGGUGGGGUAAUGGCCUACCAAGGCGUCGACGGGUAGCCGGCCUGAGAGGGUGUACGGCCACAUUGGGACUGAGAUACGGCCCAGACUCCUACGGGAGGCAGCGGUGGGGAAUAUUGCACAAUGGGCGCAAGCCUGAUGCAGCGACGCCGCGUGGGGGAUGACGGCCUUCGGGUUGUAAACUCCUUUCGCUAGGGACGAAGCGCAAGUGACGGUACCUGGAGAAGAAGCACCGGCUAACUACGUG
rnacentral:rRNA from 1 species